rnacentral:rRNA from 1 species
UGGGGAAUAUUGCACAAUGGGCGCAAGCCUGAUGCAGCCAUGCCGCGUGUAUGAAGAAGGCCUUCGGGUUGUAAAGUACUUUCAGCGGGGAGGAAGGGAGUAAAGUUAAUACCUUUGCUCAUUGACGUUACCCGCAGAAGAAGCACCGGCUAACUCCGUGCCAGCAGCCGCGGUAAUACGUAGGGCGCGAGCGUUGUCCGGAAUUAUUGGGCGUAAAGGGCUUGUAGGCGGCUUGUUGCGCCUGCUGUGAAAACGCGGGGCUUAACUUCGCGCGUGCAGUGGGUACGGGCAGGCUUGAGUGUGGUAGGGGUGACUGGAAUUCCAGGUGUAGCGGUGGAAUGCGCAGAUAUCUGGAGGAACACCGGUGGCGAAGGCGGGUCUCUGGGCCGUUACUGACGCUGAGGAGCGAAAGCGUGGGGAGCAAACAGG